rnacentral:rRNA from 1 species
AUACCGAGGUGGCAAGCGUUGUUCGGAAUUAUUGGGCGUAAAGAGCACGUAGGUGGAUUUGUUAGUCAGAUGUGAAAGCCUUUUGUUCAACGGAAGAAUUGCAUCUGAAACUACAAACCUUGAGUAUAGGAGGGGAGAGUGGAACUUCUGGUGGAGCGGUGAAAUGCGUAGAUAUCAGAAGGAACGCCGGCGGCGAAAGCGACUCUCUGGCCUAUAACUGACACUGAGUGUGCGAAAGCUAGGGGAGCAAACGGAAUUAGAUACCCCAGUAGUCC